UUUCAUUGGCAUGCUUGCAGAUCCUGAUUCUCUCAAAAGCUCCAUCACAGUUGAUGCCAGACUCCUGAAGCAACAUAGAAUCAUGAAAUAAAUAAACUUUGGCAUGCAUUGUUUAAAACCUUAGGAAUCGAUCUAUUUGCUGGCUAGCUUUGGUUGUUCUCAAGGAAAUAAAGAGACAUGAUGAACUUGCAAAUUAUAAAAAUGCAAGAAGAACAUUAAGAAAAUAGUGGCGUAGAGUUAGACCAAACCUGAUAUUUUUGCUUCUAUAAUUUGCUUUGCAAGGUCAUACAGGGAUCCAAGAAGUUCAUCUCUCCGUUCACAGUAUUCUUGGGCUAGCACACCAUGGUCCUACCCACGUUCAAAUUUGGCAGUUAAUAGACCAACAGCACGAGACGACAGAUGACAUACCUGCAAAUCCUGAUUCUCUCAAAAGCUCCAUCACAGAUGAUGCGAGACUCCUGAACCAACACAAAAUCAUGAAAUAAAUAAACUUUGGCAUGCAUUGUUCAAACCUGAGAAAUCCAUCUAUUUGUUGGCUAGCUUUGGUUUUCGAAUAGCACUGAUACUGCUUAAUCGUUGUUGCUGGUGCCACCUGAGAUGUUG
rnacentral:lncRNA from 1 species